rnacentral:misc_RNA from 1 species
AAAAAUUUGGAUAUAAAUGAAAAUGAUUGUAAAAGUAUUACAGUGGUGCCUUCAGAUAAUACUAAAAACAUGAUUUUUAAAUCAUAAGGAUUAACAACUUUAAGAAUAACAUAUACCAUUUAAAAUAAAUUAGAUAUUAGAUUGUUGGGAAGGGUAGUCUUGAAUCCCGAGAGGAUUAAUUUUCUGUGGACUGUAAAAGAGAUAUGGAGAGACACUCUAGUAAAUUCAUAAACAAAAAUAAAUUAGAUAUCUUUAUAGGAGAGAGAGAGAACACCUUUCUAGCUUGUCUCUUACUUGCAUAUAAAUGUAGAAAGACAUAUGUCUAGCAUGGCUUGGUUCAGUGGCUAAUGGUAUAUCGCUCACUUGAUAAGUACCAAGUUCAAGUUCCCACUCAUUCAAUCCUCAGUCCUAUACAUAAAAAAGAGUAGAUAGGCAUAUAGAUAUGUCAUUGGCAACACUUUUUUCCCCAACUGAAAUUCAUGAUAAUAAAGUUUCUGUAAGUUCACAUCUUAUAAGUUAUAUCUGCCAGCAAAAGGCAAAUUGAUAGAGCCUAUCCAUAAUUUGCCAUCUUUUUCCAUUCCUUCACUUAUGGACUUGAAUCCAUUUUUAUCUUCAAACACUUCCAAUAUGUCACCAUUUUCGCUCAACCUAAUAGCCAUGCCACUCCCUCUAUACUCACCCAAAAUUGAAUACGCUUUCAUCAAAUCAAAAGGAAGCCUAAUCAAAGCAUUGCCUAUCCAUGUAUGUGAAAGGAUCCAUUCCAAGAGCUUUUCUCUUUUUGAAUGCAAACCAACCCAAUAUCCUCCUCUAGGACUCCUCUUUAUGUUGUCUGGGAACCCUGGCAGUUGUGCAAAGACUUCAAGAGUUCCAAUUUUACAUGUUUUUAUCCAAUAUCUUAGGAUUCUGCAUGUGGUGGUCUCUGCAAGUAAAAUGAAGUUUCCAUCUUUGCUUAAUGCCACUCCAUUUGGAAAUGAAAGGUUCUCAACAAGUACUUUAACUUGUCUGUCUUCUGGGUCAUAUCUCAUUAGCCUUCCUGAUUUAUCACCACUUAAUAUCACAUAUAUAUAAUCCCUCCUCUGGUACACUGAACUGCUAUCGGUAAAAUAUACGGUUCCACUUGAUUGGUCAAUGUCGAGGCCAUUAGUGAACCUAAAAGGUAACCCAUCGGCAAGUGUCGCAAUUGUUGUGGCCAACCCACCUUCAGGGCCCACCAUUAAUAGCCCCAUGUAAGCAUCGGCAAUGUACAGAUCACCGCUUGAUUCGUCGACACACAAACCUAAUGGGCGCCCACAAAUAGGCUCCACCUGAUAGUGAUCGUAUGAUCGCUCGCAGCCGGUUCUGUGAAGAGAAGUAACAGCAAAAUCAAUCCACUGUCGUCGAUGUUCCUCCCAUUUGAUGAUCCGGCCAUCGGCGAUGCUGGCGUAGGGUCCCUGGCCAUGCUUGCCGAACGCAAAACUUUCAGGUCCGGUUGCAGAACUUCCUAGAUGAAGAAGCUCCCGCUGCUGAUUAAGCUUGUCAAUAUUAUCACCAGAAAAACUUUGUAUAUAAGAUGGUUUAUCCGAGAACUUGGUACGAUUGAUGGCGAUUAUGGCAGAUAUUAUGAGUACCAUUGUUGCUGCGAAAAAUAAUGGGUUUGAGGUGAUCGCCAUGAGAGGGAUAAAUUAUUUCAAAAAAAGGACUAAAAGGAAGAAGAAAGAAAGAAGAAAUAAUGUUUGGUGUGAAAUGAAAUUGAAGCAGAUACAACAGAAAGCAAUGUUUGGUGCAAAAUGAAAAUGAAGAAUAUACAAAAGAGAUGCGUGUCGUUUUAUACA